rnacentral:pre_miRNA from 1 species
AGUGCAAUUGCUGGGUUGUAUGGUAAUUGCAUGUUUAGUUUUAUAAGAAACUGCCAUAUUAUUUUUCAGAGUGGCUGUACCAUUUUACAUUCCCAACAGCAAU